rnacentral:lncRNA from 1 species
AGCAAGGUUUCUUUUGGGCCCUGCUUGGAUAACAUUUUGUAAAAGUUGGAUGAAAAAAGACCAUGACAUUUGUCAGAAGAAGUUUCAGUGUUCCUGAACAAGCUCAGAACAACCAGCUCAGAGGAGAAAGCCUGUGCUGUGGAGAUCAGAGUGGAGACAAAUCCCCAUUGUGGUGGCCUGUGGUGAAUUGGAUGAAAUCCCUCCAGGAGUUCCUGUGUCUCCUUAGCAGGUGAAGAGGGAGAAUUUGUGAAUAACACCCAGUGAAUUAAACACUUCCCCUGUAGCUCCAAUUGUGCUUCCCCAGUGGCCAAACAUGGCAGGUGUCUUCCCAGGACACGAAUUGAUCCAGAACAAGGAAUACUGAUGUCUGCCUUGAUCCACCACCACGCUUGUUUCAACAGCAUCCAAUUUACUCGAUUCAGAGGUAGCUGUGAGAUGUUAUGGGACCUUCUCUGGGAAGUAGGGAAGUAUCCAGACACUUCAGUGCUGGGUGAUUGACUCCUGCUUGGAUGUCAUCAGGAUGCCCCACCUUCCUUGCUGCUCAAGAAACAUGGAAUAUUAAACCCUAAUACCUCAAUACAGUAAUAAAGAUAUCACACCAGAAGUGUUGCUAUGGGGACUGAGAUAAGGGCAGUCAGAGACAUCCUGGAAAUGUCAAAAUGCAGAGGAAGCCAGAGCCAGAGAAGGGCAGGAUCUGUAGUGUAGUGCCGCAAAGCUGACCCUGGUGCAGCUCCCUAAAUGGUUUCAGGUUUGUGCUGAGCUGAUGCACUGUCACUGCAGCCUGAUGGUUCCCAGGGAGCUGUAAUUUCAGGACAGCAAGUGCCAUUGAGUCUCCUUCCCCCAGACAUAGGCAGGGGACAGCGAAAACAGUUUCUUCCUCCUCUUCCCCCAUGUCAGAGCAUGGACAGAGAGACUUGAGCAAGUGAGACCAGACAUUUAAACUGGUGUGUUAAUUCACUGGAGAAGAGGAGGCUCAGGGGGAACCUUAUCACUCUCUACAACUACCUGAAAGGUGGUUGUAGCCAGGUGGGGGUUGUUGUCUUCUCCAGGCAACCAGUGACAGGAUGAGAGGUCACAGCCUCAAGUCUGGAGUCCUCAAGCUGUACUAGGGGAAGUUUAGGCUACAUAUUAGAAAAAAAUUCAUCACUGAAAGAGUGGUUCAGCAUUGGAAUGGGCUGUUCAGGGAGGUGGUUGAAUCACUGUCCCUGGAGGUGUUAAAAACAAAGACUGGAUGAGGCACUCAGUGCUAUAGUUUAGCUGACAAUGUAAUGUUAGGUCACAAGCUGGACUAGAUGAUCUAAAGGUAUUUUCCAACCUAGUUUAAUCGGUGAUUCAAGGUGUCUGUUAAUUUUAAGAGCAGGCAGUGUGGUCUGGGUUGAAUUUUCCUCUCUUGCAUCCCCUGUCACAACAUCCUGGGAGCACGUUGGACUGAGAGAAGCUCCCUGUAUCUGCAGGGGUAACUGAGAUCUCUGGAAAGGCACAAGUUUUCUUGAGGUCUGAACUCAAACUUUUGAGCACUUGGCACCUUCAGAAGUCACAGCUGGUGCCAGGUGCCAGGUGAGAGAGAUCAGAGGGCUUUGGGACAGGAUUUCCCUUCUUUGCUCACUUCCCUUCUGUGCCUGUUCCAGGUCAGCUGCGGGAUCAUC